rnacentral:lncRNA from 1 species
GAGCCUCCCUGUCAGUCCCAGGGUAAAGCGACCCAUUGAAAACAGGAUCCUCAUUCUACCCAAUGUCACGAGAAAUGAAACAGGACCUUAUCAAUGUGAAAUACGGGACCGAUAUGGUGGCAUCCGCAGUGACCCAGUCACCCUGAAUGUCCUCUAUGGUCCAGACCUCCCCAGCAUUUACCCUUCAUUCACCUAUUACCGUUCAGGAGAAAACCUCUACUUGUCCUGCUUCGCCGAGUCUAACCCACGGGCACAAUAUUCUUGGACAAUUAAUGGGAAGUUUCAGCUAUCAGGACAAAAGCUCUCUAUCCCCCAAAUAACUACAAAGCAUAGUGGGCUCUAUGCUUGCUCUGUUCGUAACUCAGCCACUGGCAAGGAAAGCUCCAAAUCCAUCACAGUCAAAGUCUCUGGUAAGUGGAUCCCAGCAUCCUUGGCAAUAGGGAUUUAGGUGGAGUCUAUCUGGCAUUCAGGGAAGAGUGAGGAAAACAUUUUUAUUCCCAGCCUGUGUCCCAUGGGCACAAGCAAAUCCCAAAUUCUACUCCUGAACACUCCCAAUUUGUCUAAGAACUUCCAAAACUUUAACAAACAGGCUGAUAUCUUCUUAAAAUUCCCAGCCUAGACCAAGCAGGAGAAACAUUGAUUUCAUUGAAAUAAUUGACAAUAUUGAGGAUAAUAUUUUUAUGAUUUUUAUUUGAAAAUUUGCUGAUUCUUUAAAUGGUUUGUUUUCUAGAUUUAUGGAAUUUUUUUCUUUUAAUCUAUCUAUAGCUUGUAGCAGUUCAAUAAACUAUACUUCUG